rnacentral:misc_RNA from 1 species
AAGGAUCAUUAACGAAUCUAAGUCGAUACACUGUGCUGGUGGAAACACAUGUGCACGUGUGUCGCAAACAUCCACACACCUGUGAACCCUAGACUCUGUGGUGAUUGACCGCCCUGACCUUUGGUCUAUGCGAAAGAGGGUCUCUGAGCCCUCCGUCUCCCAGGGUACUUUUUAUCACACUCCAAAUGUAAUGGAAUGUCUCUGUGCAUAAUGCGCAAAUAUACAACUUUCAACAACGGAUCUCUUGGCUCUC